GCCGCGGUGCUGGGGCCGGCGGCAGGGUAGGCUGUCACUGGUUCACCUGCCUUUGCCGGCUUGCCCGAGGCUGGCGGGUAGCCGGAUUGGGGCGGAUAAGCGGUUGCCGGCGCGUCGGCCUUGCCGGUGGGCGGAUAGGCGGUGGGAGGUGAGUACGCGUCGGCCUUGGCGGCCGGCGGGUAGGCGGAGGGAGGCGGGUACGCGUCGGCCUUGGCUGCCGGCGGGUAGGCGGAGGGAGGCGGGUACGCAUCGGCCUUGCCUGCCGGCGGGUAGGCGGAGGAAGGCGGGUAGGCGGCGGCCGGCGGAGGCUGGGUGUAGGCGGACUGGGCGGGGGUGGGAGCGUACCCGCCGGCCGAUUGGGUGACCUCGCCGAGCUUGUAUGAGAAGUUGAGGACUCCCUGGGGCUUGGCGGAGGAGAUCUUGCGGACCUGGUAGGCGACGAACUUGGCGGGGACGGGGCCGUCGGGGGCGCCGGAGAGGAGCUCGGAGAGCGGGAUGUGGACCUCGCCGACGUCGCGGUCGCCGAGGGCGCGCUCGGCGCGGAGGAGUACGUGGAGGGAUCCCGCGCCGCUGGCGGGGACGGUGAAGCGGAGCGUGGCGUUCCAGGUGGGGUUCCGGCCGCCGGUGCGGUCGGCCUGGAUCCGCUGCCGCGAGCGGGGGUCGCCGGAGAGCGACACCACGGCGUAGACCUCCA
rnacentral:lncRNA from 1 species